AGUCUCCGCUAGAAACGCUCUGGGCGCGCACUCCUGGAGACGCGGAGGCCCGGGCGCUCCAGACCAGUGUCCUUGUAGGAGGCUUCUUCACGAAGCUUAGAGUUUGGCCUUUCAUAGGGAAAGACUUGCUCGGGAGCAAGUCUAAGGGAUUUUAAGGGAUUUUAAAUCUUCCUGGGCCAGGGCUAGGGAGCUCUAGUGACAGUGUCUUGGUCUGGAAUCCAACUCUCCAAUUUUGAGGCCGCAGGGAGGAAUUCUGAGACUUUAGAGGCCGCACAGCCUUCAGCGCGCUCACCGCGUCCAGGCGUCAGUGAGGGGCUAUCUCGAGGCGCGAGUGCACAAAAGGUAGCGCGAGUCUCUUCUCAGGCGAUCCAGAUAAGAGGAAAUGAGAGCCGGGUUUUCUGACUUCCAACUCAUUAGGGACCAGGUUCUUUUUCUUCAGGAUCAGGCACAGAGACUGACUGAAUGGCUCCAAUUAUCAGGAUUUGAAAACCCAGUAUCAGAAUCUACCACUUUGUGCCUGAGGGAGAGGGAAAAGCGGAUACCCACCUGUGUCGCUGUUUGCGUGCCAAGUCCAGGAACAGUCCAUACAGCCCUGCUGCAUCCCACGACGCUGUCACAAAGCAGGAGUUCAUCCGAGGCCAAGAUGUUAAUUAUUCAUACUGCAUGACUGAGGAUUUUGGAGGCAGAGAGAGAUUCAUCUGCAAUAUUUGGAACACCAAUGGAGGUCUACGUCAACACAGAAUUUAUACAGCAGCUGGUGCUAGUCAGAGCUAAUGACAGAAUUUCAGUUUAAUAAAAAGACCCCCAACUGAGCACACCAUCUUGAAAAAAGUAUACUUAUCAAACAGCUUUCAAUCAGUUCAAGAGAGACACCUUAAUUGGGGAGAGGAAGAAUUGCAGAGUAGUUUGUAAUCAUGCCAAUUCCAGAUCAAUAACUGCAUGUCUGUUCUUUGGUAGAAAUAGCUUUUGCUUUAUAUUAAGUAAUCACAUAUAUAUUCUCUCUAUUUGGAUAAGGAAACCUUCGCUUUAUUUGACAAUGUAUAAUGAUAUACUCUUCUAAUUCACCUCUGUGUCUUCACAAUAAACAUGAGUAAAAUUUAGACAAGUGAUGGUAAAGGUCAAUAUAAUUAUUUAUUUUUAAAAUAAAUUUUGUAUCUAACAGGAAAGCAGUUCUUAUGAAAUUUUUAUAUUUUCAAAAAUUGUUUUGUUCAAAUAAAAUUUUAUGAGUAAAGUUAAA
rnacentral:lncRNA from 1 species